UUUAGGGUUUAGGGUUUAGGGUUUAGGAUUUAGGGUUUAGAGUUUAGGGUUUAGAGUUGAAGGUUUAGGGUUUAGGGUUUAGAGUUGAUGUUUUAGGGUUUAGGGUUAAUUUUUUAGGGUUUAGGGUUUAGAGUUUACUUUUUAGGGUUUAGGGUUUAGUGUUGAUUGUUUAGGGUUUAGUGUUGCUGGUUUAAGGUUUAGAGUUGAAGUUUAGGGUUUAGGGUUUAGAGUUGAUGUUUUAGGGUUUAGAGUUGAAGGUUUAGGGUUUAGAGUUUAUGUUUCGGGGUUUAGGGUUUAGAGUUGAUGUUUCAGGGUUUAGGGUUCGUAUUUCAAAAAAAAAAAAAGGGUUUAGGAUUGAUGGUUUAGGGUUCAUAUUUCAAAUAAGAAAUAGGGUUUAGGAUCGAUGUUUUAGGGUUUAGAGUUGAGUUUUAGAGUUUAGGGUUUGAAUUUCGAAAUAGUAUAAUUCAAAAAAAAGUUAAAAAAACUAUUUUUUAUUUUCUUAGAUUUUUAUUUAUUUAAAUAUUUA
rnacentral:lncRNA from 1 species